AUAUACCUUUGUUCAAAAGGCAAAGAAAAACCUCCUAAAUCUAUUAAUCGAACUUGAGACUGUAAAUUCCUCAUCUGUAAUAGCAGGCAGGUGGGGAGUUUUAGGUCCAGUGGC
rnacentral:ncRNA from 17 species